GAUGAACGCUGGCGGCGUGCCUAAUACAUGCAAGUCGAGCGAACAGACGAGGAGCUUGCUCCUCUGACGUUAGCGGCGGACGGGUGAGUAACACGUGGCUAACCUACCUAUAAGACUGGGAUAACUUCGGGAAACCGGAGCUAAUACCGGAUAAUAUAUUGAACCGCAUGGUUCAAUAGUGAAAGACGGUUUUGCUUUCACUUAUAGAUGGAUCCGCGCCGCAUUAGCUAGUUGGUAAGGUAACGGCUUACCAAGGCAACGAUGCGUAGCCGACCUGAGAGGGUGAUCGGCCACACUGGAACUGAGACACGGUCCAGACUCCUACGGGAGGCAGCAGUAGGGAAUCUUCCGCAAUGGGCGAAAGCUUGACGGAGCAACGCCGCGUGAGUGAUGAAGGUCUUCGGAUCGUAAAACUCUGUUAUUAGGGAAGAACAAAUGUGUAAGUAACUAUGCACGUCUUGACGGUACCUAAUCAGAAAGCCACGGCUAACUACGUG
rnacentral:rRNA from 1 species